UACGUAGGGGGCAAGCGUUGUCCGGAAUCAUUGGGCGUAAAGAGCGUGUAGGCGGCCAAGCAGGUCUGCUGUGAAAACUCGAGGCUCAACCUCGAGACGUCGGUGGAAACCGUUUGGCUAGAGUCCGGAAGAGGAGAGUGGAAUUCCCGGUGUAGCGGUGAAAUGCGCAGAUAUCGGGAAGAACACCCGUGGCGAAGGCGGCUCUCUGGGACGGUACUGACGCUGAGACGCGAAAGCGUGGGGAGCGAACAGG
rnacentral:rRNA from 1 species